AACAAACCAAUCUUUCACUUAUUAACUAUAAUGUUUGACUAUUCGUCUUAUUUAAAAAAAUUAUUGUUAAUAUUUUUAUUUUUAUUAGAUAAUAAAUCAUGAAUAAUACUUUACGUAUGAGUAUUUUUUUAAAUUCUUAUAAAUUUUUUAAAUAUGACGGAUGGUCAGACGCUACGCAUGGAAACCAAAAGAUUGGUUUGUU
rnacentral:pre_miRNA from 1 species